rnacentral:rRNA from 1 species
GCGUGAGUGAUGAAGGCCUUAGGGUUGUAAAGCUCUUUUACCCGGGAUGAUAAUGACAGUACCGGGAGAAUAAGCCCCGGCUAACUCCGUGCCAGCAGCCGCGGUAAUACGGAGGGGGCUAGCGUUGCUCGGAAUCACUGGGCGUAAAGCGCACGUAGGCGGCUUUCUAAGUCAGGGGUGAAAUCCUGGAGCUCAACUCCAGAACUGCCUUUGAUACUGGGAAGCUCGAGUCCGGAAGAGGUGAGUGGAACUCCGAGUGUAGAGGUGAAAUUCGU